UACGUAGGGUGCAAGCGUUAAUCGGAAUACUGGGCGUAAGGCGUGCGCAGGCGGUGAUGUAAGACAGGUGUGAAAUCCCCGGGCUUAACCUGGGAACUGCAUUUGUGGCUGCAUCGCUGGAGUGCGGCAGAGGGGGGAUGGAAUUCCGCGUGUAGCAGUGAAAUGCGUAGAUAUGCGGAGGAACACCGAUGGCGAAGGCAAUCCCCUGGGCCUGCACUGACGCUCAUGCACGAAAGCGUGGGGAGCAAACAGG
rnacentral:rRNA from 1 species